GAUGAACGCUGGCGGCGUGCCUAAUACAUGCAAGUCGAGCGAACAGAUGAGGAGCUUGCUCCUCUGACGUUAGCGGCGGACGGGUGAGUAACACGUGGAUAACCUACCUAUAAGACUGGGAUAACUUCGGGAAACCGGAGCUAAUACCGGAUAAUAUAUUCAACCGCAUGGUUCAAUAGUGAAAGACGGUUUUGCUGUCACUUAUAGAUGGAUCCGCGCCGCAUUAGCUAGUUGGUAAGGUAACGGCUUACCAAGGCAACGAUGCGUAGCCGACCUGAGAGGGUGAUCGGCCACACUGGAACUGAGACACGGUCCAGACUCCUACGGGAGGCAGCAGUAGGGAAUCUUCCGCAAUGGGCGAAAGCUUGACGGAGCAACGCCGCGUGAGUGAUGAAGGUCUUCGGAUCGUAAAACUCUGUUAUUAGGGAAGAACAAAUGUGUAAGUAACUAUGCACGUCUUGACGGUACCUAAUCAGAAAGCCACGGCUAACUACGUG
rnacentral:rRNA from 1 species